rnacentral:lncRNA from 1 species
CUGCCCUGACGUUUCCUGGAAUAAUGCUGAGGACUGCCUGUCGGGUAGCUGCCUUAUUCAGUUCACUUCAUCUCGGAAACACCUGACCCCUGCCUUGGAUCCAGCGGCCCUCCUGAGAGCUGAGGAAGGAGGAAAUCCUAUGUGUCUGCUCCCAGAGCUGCCACAACCCAUCUUCCCACAACUCGGAACUUGGAAAAAGGAACCCAGGACACGACUUUGCUUUUCUUUUGGACCUAGUUGAAGUCACAGCUUGGAGGAAACCAGUUUGCACUAUUUGAUGAGGAAUUUGGCCACCAAACCACUGAUACUUUCCCAAAGGUUUGGCAGAAAUUGUUUUUUGAGUGGCUCACCAGAGUCCCUAGAAGAAUCAGCAUGGAAUUAGAGGACAGUGGCCUACCCUAACUAAAGACAUGAGUGACGU